AGUGAACGCUGGCGGCGUGCUUAACACAUGCAAGUCGAACGAGAACGGAUUAUAGCUUGCUAUAAUUGUCAGCUAAGUGGUGCACGGGUGAGUAAUGUAUAGGUAAUAUGCCUCUUACUAAGGGAUAACAAUUGGAAACGAUUGCUAAUACCUUAUAUUCCUUUUUAUCAAAAGAUAAAAAGGGAAAGAUUUAUUGGUAAGAGAUUAGCCUGUAUUGUAUCAGUUAGUUGGUGGGGUAAUGGCCUACCAAGACAAUGACGCAUAACUGGUUUGAGAGGAUGAUCAGUCACACUGGAACUGAGACACGGUCCAGACUCCUACGGGAGGCAGCAGUGGGGAAUAUUGCACAAUGGACGAAAGUCUGAUGCAGCAACGCCGCGUGGAGGAUGACACAUUUCGGUGCGUAAACUCCUUUUAUAUAGGAAGAUAAUGACGGUACUAUAUGAAUAAGCACCGGCUAACUCCGUGCCAGCAGCCGCCGUAAAAC
rnacentral:rRNA from 1 species